UACGGAGGGUGCAAGCGUUAUCCGGAUUCACUGGGUUAAAGGGUGCGUAGGUGGAAUGGUAAGUCAGUGGUGAAAUCUCCAAGCUUAACUUGGAACUGCCGUUGAUACUAUCAUUCUUGAAUAUCGUGGAGGUAAGCGGAAUAUGUCAUGUAGCGGUGAAAUGCUUAGAUAUGACAUAGAACACCGAUUGCGAAGGCAGCUUGCUACACGAUCAUUGACACUGAGGCACGAAAGCGUGGGGAUCAAACAGG
rnacentral:rRNA from 1 species